rnacentral:lncRNA from 1 species
AUAGCAGUUGGCCUGGAAAAAGUUUAAAAAAAAAGUCAAGGCAAAGCAAGAAUGUCACACAACGCACUUGUACCAACGCAUGUAUCCAAAGAAACGAAUCUCAGUAACAACAAUAUUCGUACGCAAUAUUAAUUACAUAUUUCCAAAUGAAGUCGUCAGUGGAUUUACAACCCAAGAAGACAUGGCACAGUGCACAGUGUCAGCAGAAAGCCAUAUGCCUCACUCGUGCAAGAGCUGCACUAUGUCAAGAUGUUGGAAGAAAGUGCAGGUCUUAAAUAGGCAACUACAGUGUGUGGGGAGAUGGUGUCAAGUGCGCAAGAGUGGACAGCCCCAGUGACAGUGUGUGGCAUAGACAAGGAACAACAACAGUACAGCGCCGGUUGAGUACAGCCGCCUGGGUCCUCAGCGGCGCGACUUCCCCACAAGUGAUAAUUAGAAAAUUACUGCAAUUACAAUGCAUGCACAUCUCGCUGCACAGUGCCAACAAUACACUGCCAGCAAUGC